rnacentral:rRNA from 1 species
CGGAGGGUCCAAGCGUUAUCCGGAAUCAUUGGGUUUAAAGGGUCCGUAGGCGGUUUUGUAAGUCAGUGGUGAAAGCCCAUCGCUCAACGGUGGAACGGCCAUUGAUACUGCAAGACUUGAAUUAUUAGGAAGUAACUAGAAUAUGUAGUGUAGCGGUGAAAUGCUUAGAGAUUACAUGGAAUACCAAUUGCGAAGGCAGGUUACUACUAAUGGAUUGACGCUGAUGGACGAAAGCGUGGGGAGCGAACAGGAUUAGAUACCCUGGUAGUCCACGCCGUAAACGAUGGAUACUAGCUGUUCGGAGCAAUCUGAGUGGCUAAGCGAAAGUGAUAAGUAUCCCGCCUGGGGAGUACGUUCGCAAGAAUG